rnacentral:rRNA from 1 species
UACGUAGGGUGCAAGCGUUAAUCGGAAUUACUGGGCGUAAAGCGUGCGCAGGCGGUUCGCUAAGACAGAUGUGAAAUCCCCGGGCUUAACCUGGGAACUGCAUUUGUGACUGGCGGGCUAGAGUAUGGCAGAGGGGGGUAGAAUUCCACGUGUAGCAGUGAAAUGCGUAGAGAUGUGGAGGAAUACCGAUGGCGAAGGCAGCCCCCUGGGCCAAUACUGACACUCAUGCACGAAAGCGUGGGGAGCAAACAGG